GAAAUGCGAUAAGUAAUGUGAAUUGCAGAAUUCAGUGAAUCAUCGAGUCUUUGAACGCACAUUGCGCCCCCUGGCAUUCCGGGGGGCAUGCCUGUCCGAGCGUCAUUGCUGCCCUUCAAGCCCGGCUUGUGUGUUGGGUCGUCGUCCCCUCCGGGGGACGGGCCCGAAAGGCAGCGGCGGCACCGCGUCCGGUCCUCGAGCGUAUGGGGCUUUGUCACCCGCUCGAUAAGGACCGGCCGGGCGCCAGCCGGCGUCUCCAACCUUUUUUUCUCAGGUUGACCUCGGAUCAGGUAGGGAUACCCGCUGAACUUAAGC
rnacentral:misc_RNA from 1 species